rnacentral:rRNA from 1 species
UACGUAGGGUGCGAGCGUUAAUCGGAAUUACUGGGCGUAAAGCGUGCGCAGGCGGUUUUGUAAGUUUGUCGUGAAAUCCCCCGGGGCUCAACCUGGGAAUGGCGAUGAAGACUGCAAGGCUAGAAUCUGGCAGAGGGGGGUAGAAUUCCACGUGUAGCAGUGAAAUGCGUAGAGAUGUGGAGGAACACCGAUGGCGAAGGCAGCCCCCUGGGUCAAGAUUGACGCUCAUGCAC